rnacentral:rRNA from 1 species
ACGCUGGCGGCGUGCCUAAUACAUGCAAGUAGAACGCUGAAGGAGGAGCUUGCUUCUCUGGAUGAGUUGCGAACGGGUGAGUAACGCGUAGGUAACCUGCCUGGUAGCGGGGGAUAACUAUUGGAAACGAUAGCUAAUACCGCAUAACAGUAGAUGUUGCAUGACAUUUGCUUAAAAGGUGCAAUUGCAUCACUACCAGAUGGACCUGCGUUGUAUUAGCUAGUUGGUGGGGUAACGGCUCACCAAGGCGACGAUACAUAGCCGACCUGAGAGGGUGAUCGGCCACACUGGGACUGAGACACGGCCCAGACUCCUACGGGAGGCAGCAGUAGGGAAUCUUCGGCAAUGGACGGAAGUCUGACCGAGCAACGCCGCGUGAGUGAAGAAGGUUUUCGGAUCGUAAAGCUCUGUUGUAAGAGAAGAACAGGUGUGAGAGUGGAAAGUUCACACUGUGACGGUAUCUUACCAGAAAGGGACGGCUAACUACGUGCCAGCAGCCGCGGUAAUACGUAGGUCCCGAGCGUUGUCCGGAUUUAUUGGGCGUAAAGCGAGCGCAGGCGGUUAGAUAAGUCUGAAGUUAAAGGCUGUGGCUUAACCAUAGUACGCUUUGGAAACUGUUUAACUUGAGUGCAAGAGGGGAGAGUGGAAUUCCAUGUGUAGCGGUGAAAUGCGUAGAUAUAUGGAGGAACACCGGCGGCGAAAGCGGCUCUCUGGCUUGUAACUGACGCUGAGGCUCGAAAGCGUGGGGAGCAAACAGGAUUAGAUACCCCUGGUAGUCCACGCCGUAAACGAUGAGUGCUAGGUGUUAGACCCUUUCCGGGGUUUAGUGCCGCAGCUAACGCAUUAAGCACUCCGCCUGGGGAGUACGACCGCAAGGUUGAAACUCAAAGGAAUUGAC